rnacentral:rRNA from 1 species
UACGAAGGGGGCUAGCGUUGCUCGGAAUUACUGGGCGUAAAGGGCGCGUAGGCGGACAGUGUAGUCAGAGGUGAAAGCCCAGGGCUCAACCUUGGAAUUGCCUUUGAUACUGGCUGUCUUGAGUUCGGGAGAGGUGAGUGGAAUGCCGAGUGUAGAGGUGAAAUUCGUAGAUAUUCGGCGGAACACCAGUGGCGAAGGCGCUCACUGGCCC